UUUUGUUUUAGCAGUAUUUUUUCCUUCAACAAUUAAUCUUGCAUCUCCAACCGUGGAAUGAGUUACAUGUGACUCGAGACAAACAAACAGUGCAAUUGCAACAAUAUAAUUAGUCAGCGGUAUGGUCACUAUCAGCAGCUUUACACACAGUGUGCAUCGUGAAUACAUCAAUCCCAGAGAAAACAUUCCAAUGGAAAAUAUUGAGAAUUUCUGCCCUUCUAUCCUGAACUAAACAAUGCUGGGAGAUUGGUUAUCUCUUCACAGAGAUGAGUCAUCCGCUCCUUGGACAACGCUGCGAUCGU